GAUGAACGCUGGCGGCGUGCCUAAUACAUGCAAGUCGAGCGAACAGACGAGUAGGUUUCUGCUCUGACGUUAGCGGCGGACGGUUGAGUAACACGUGGAUAACCUACCUAUAAGACUGGGUUAACUUCGGGAAACCGGAGCCAAUACCGGAUAAUAUAUUGAACCGCAUGGUUCAACAGUGAAAGCCGGUGUUGCUGUCACUUAUAGAUGGAUCCGCGCUGCAUUAGCUAGUUGGUAAGGUAACGGCUUGCCAAGGCAACGAUGCGUAGCUGACCUGAUCGGGGGAUAGGCCACACUGGAACUGGGAAACGGUCAAGACUCCUACGGGAGGCAGAAGUAGGGAAACUUCCGAAAUGGGCGAAAGCCUGACGAAGAAAGGCCGCGUGAGUGAGGAAGGUCUUCGGAUCGUAAAACUCUGUUAGUAGGGAAGAACAAAUGUGUAAGAAAAGAUGCACGUCUUGACGGUACCUAAACAGAAAGCCACGGCUAACUACGUG
rnacentral:rRNA from 1 species